UUCAGUUUGUGGGUGUGCCAUGAGGACAUGAACUGUAUUGGUUUUCUCACGCCUCUAUCAAGCCAGGACAAGGCACAGGCAUGUAACACAAAGGAAGACUCAGAUGCUGGGCCUCCCAGGUCUGGCCCCACCAGGCUCCUCGUCUGGCCAGCACAGUGGGCUAUUCACACAGGGCACACACCAAACCAGGCUCCUCUAGUCUGGGGUGCAGGCCAGAUACUCACCCCAUGCCCUGGCAGUGAAAAAAAGCCCUCUGUGUCUAAGUGUGAAGGCACAUCUGUCUCUCUUCCUCCCAAGUCCCAGUGCCCAGCCUGGGGCCCACCAAGGAAGCCUCAAGGCAGCUGGAUGAAUGGAUGCAUUCAGUAGUGUAAAUUAAGCACCUACUAUGUGCUGGGUCACAAACAAGCUCUGCCCUGAUAGGACUCAAUGUUGGGGGACGGGGGGAGUAGACAAAGACACAGUGAGAGGAGACUAAGCAUUGGUGGUCUGUGUGGAGAGCUUCCGGAGAAAGGGUGAGGAAUGAUCUAGGAAUGGAGAAUGGCAUGCAAAGGCCCUGUGGUGGAAAGGGGAGGGAGAGGCCUGCAUGGCAAGUAAGAGGUCCUCUCCUUAGGACACUUUUGCAGCAUCCACCAUCCAGGGCCCUAAUGAAGACUACGGACCACUGACCCAGCGGGCCUCUCACUCUCGGACCCCAAGGGACCAAGAAAAUCUAAAAAGAGGGGGAACUGGGUCAUAACAUAGUUCUAGUCGCCAUCAACGCCGUCCCCACCCCAAACUAGGCUCCCAGAGUCACUGUGCCGGAAGCCCGGCCCCUUUCCAGCCGCACCAGCCUGCGCCGGCUUGUUAAUCAGCGGCCACACGCCAGAAGACAGGCGCUGUUCCUGGAGAUCCGCCCACUCCGCUAACCACGCCCAUUGGCAGUGACGACCAAUCAGGGACAGCGGCCGGGCCGGGAGGCGGGGCUCGUGCUAACACAAAAGGCAGGAAAUAUGAGAUGUCGCCGUGACGCCACCAUGGCUACCUAGCCCCUCGCACCGCCAGGCUGCUGGCCAGGAACUGCUCUCCAAAGGCACAGAGCCAAUGUUCCGUUGAGAUUUCAAACUGAGAUUCUUUCCUCCCUGUUCCAGGUCAGGUGGGAGAAAUAAAGGGGUAUGUCAGAGCCUUCGGCACCAGCAGCGUCAUUUUGAGGAAAUCAUCUUAAACAUCAGAAAAAGCUCUCUGAACAAAACACAUCCACUACAUCACUCAUCAGGAACAUGCAGAACAUUGAACAAAAGGGAAAUAUUAAGUAAAUUAUGGCACAUCCGAUACUUGACUGGAAAAGCCUGAAGACAUUAACUGCCAUGUUUAUGAAGCACUGGUUACAAAACAGGAAAAGGCUGGCGUUGUCACCAGCAAAAAAAAAAAAAAAAAAA